UACGGGGGGGGCAAGCGUUGUUCGGAAUUACUGGGCGUAAAGGGCUCGUAGGUGGCCAACUAAGUCAGACGUGAAAUCCCUCAGCUUAACUGGGGAACUGCGUCUGAUACUGGAUGGCUUGAGUUUGGGAGAGGGAUGCGGAAUUCCAGGUGUAGCGGUGAAAUGCGUAGAUAUCUGGAGGAACACCGGUGGCGAAGGCGGCUCUCUGGGCCGAUACUGACGCUGAGGAGCGAAAGCGUGGGGAGCGAACAGG
rnacentral:rRNA from 1 species